rnacentral:rRNA from 1 species
UACGUAGGGUGCAAGCGUUAAUCGGAAUUACUGGGCGUAAAGCGUGCGCAGGCGGUUGUGCAAGACAGGUGUGAAAUCCCCGGGCUUAACCUGGGAACUGCACUUGUGACUGCACAGCUGGAGUACGGCAGAGGGGGAUGGAAUUCCGCGUGUAGCAGUGAAAUGCGUAGAUAUGCGGAGGAACACCGAUGGCGAAGGCAGCCCCCCUGGGGCUAACACUGACGCUCAUGCGCGAAAGCGUGGGGAGCGAACAGG